ACACAUUCCACAUGAGAAAAACAAGGAGCAGAAAUAGAAAUUGUUUUCUCUUUCUUCUCUCUGUGUUUCUCUAUGAAAAAAUCCUGAGAGAGAGAAGAAUGUGCCUGCCACAGAGGAUCCCUCUCUCCAUCCUUGGCACAGGGCUGGCAGGACCCCCCUGGCAGGUAUCCUGGGGAUGGUGUGGCUGGCAGUCUCUCUCUCUCCAGGGCUGCAUACUGCCCUGGCAGGGUGGCAGCAGGAGCAGAGGCACCUGCAGGCACAGAAAGCUGUCCUGCUCUCUGCUGAGCAGUGAGCAAUCUGUAAUUACUGGAGAGCUUUCAGGGAGCUGGACACAUCAUGCUGGUGCCUUAUUUGGAGUCUGCCCAAGUGCUGAGUCCUGGAGUCCAAAAUGCAGCUACGAAUUAGCCACAGCUGGAUUAAAUUGCUAAUUAUAAUUUGCAAAGUGUAUUCUUCUCUUCUUCUGUCACAGACAAAUGAAAAAGACUCACUCUGCAUGACCUCGCCGUCACCCUCACCCUGUGACUGGGGGGGAUAAUUGGUGAAUGUCUUGUGGUGAUUGAGUUACCAAGUGAGUCCUGAAAUGUCUUUCCUCAUCAGUGUGCCAUACAAGUUGCAUUUCUGAUUUGCCUGAUGAGUAAGAGCCAGAGGAGCCUGGAAAUCCACAGCAGUUCAGUGCCCUCGUUGUUGUUAAAGGGGCAUUUACUGCCACGUUAUUGAGGGGCCAGGAAAAUUAGAAAUCUUGGUAACGCCUUUUAAAUGGUGAUUAGCACAAAGAUAUGAACAUGAAAAAGCUCAUAAUAAAUAGAGGAAACACCAUGAAACUGGGGAAUCCAGGCCCAAGGUGCAUUGGCACUUUGGGGUCCCCCUUUAGGGUGCACAGGGAUGCUCUCCUCAGGAGCAGUGUGAACCAGACUGGAAUGCUCUUAGUCUUCAAAUGAACCAAGAUUUGGGUUGCAGGUUCAGUGCAGUGCAGCUCGGAGCUGCUGAGGGAGCACUCAAGCUGUCUGGGAAGCACUCAAGCUGUGGAUGGACCCUGGCACCAGGGCAGGCACUGGCCCUUGCUGUGGCACUCUGGAGCUUCUUGCCUGGCCUUCAACGCUGGGCACUCACCUCAGAACCACAGGACCAGCCUGUCUAAAACACCUUUGACAAUGAGUGAUGGCCACGUGCUACAGAUCCCUUUGUGAAAUAUAACCAGCCUACUGUAAGACCAUUUCUGAUGUGACUGAAAAUGAAAAUCCUGAUGACAGCACUUCAAACAGAACUGCUGCAAAUCUCUAUAAGUUGUUUUAAUGAAACCAGCCAGGAAGAGAAGGAGAGCAAAUCAAAGGAGGGUUAUUUUCACUGUGGUGUCAAAACUAUCUUUCUUACAGCAGGUAAUAGCUCAACUUGGCCAAUUACACAUUUUCUGGCCUAGCCCUGCUCUUUGCACAAGUUCUCCUGAUAAUCUGGAGCCUGGCUGACCUGAUGUCUUUGCUUUCCCUUUGCUCUUGUCUCUGCAGGCUCCAGGCAGGAGUGGGGAAGGGCAGCAGCCCCAGAGCUGGAUGUGAGCAGCAGAGGUGACCAGAGAACCUGGUAUUCCUUUUCCUUCACCUGCAGAUACUGGCCCCUUGCUGUGCCCCUCAAGGAUCUGUGCCAUCCUGGGGACAGCAUCCCUCCACCCUGUAGUGAAGAAAUCCAGUAGUACCCAUUAAAGACUGCUCUGUCUCUCUGUUUUCUUCACACCAGCAAUGGCUUUGUCAUCUGCUGCUCCUGAAACAAAAUUCAUGAGAUAAUUUUCCCAAAGCAUGACACUUAAAAUCUUAAUUAAAAUACAUCUGGCCGUUCUGCUACCAAGAUUUUAUAACUGCUUGGAAUAAUAUUUCAGAUAAAUGGAUAAGCUGUGUGCUUUUAACAUGACAGACCCUUCUUCUAGUAAAACAUAUCUAACAUCAAAUCCUCCAUAUGCUUCCAAAAUCCUCUUCCCUGCUUGGCUCCUCAGUGACAGGAAAGUGUACAUGCCUGUGGAGCUUGGUGGUGAAUGGAGCUGUCCCAGGGGUCUGGAUUGAUUUGCUUGAUACCUUCCACUGUCCCAGCAGCAUGACCCAGUGUGGGAAUUCUAAAAGGAAGCUGCUGUGCCUGGAGGCAGGCAAGCAAGAUCCUGUAUAUUACACUGUGAGAGUUGUGUGUCAUAUUAGAGCAAUCGGGCUUUAAAGGGCAUCUUUCAAGCACAAACUAGCUUUUUCCCACACUUGACUGAUCACACAAAUAACUGUGAUUAAAGGUCAAGUGCCUGGGUUUUUCUAUUUUACUCCUUAAAAAUUUAUAUGCAAGAGGAAACCUAGAAGUUAACAUAGCAUGAAAUUGUUAUGUAGUUCUGAGCCUUUAACGACAACUAAAUAUCACUUUUCUUCCUGGGUGGCUUGAGAAAUCUUCAGUAAUAACGGGUCACUUCUUUCGGUUUCCACUUGAGGAAGAAUAUAAAUAAACCCUGUCUUUUGCUUCC